ACUGCGCAGAGAGGGAGAGCUGCGCAGCGCCCCUUCAGCAAAGCGGGAGGAGGAACGGAGCCCCUUCUUUGCAGCGCCUCUCCUGCGAAGCUAGAGGAGGAACAGAAGGGGCUUCUUCUGUUUCUCCUCCAGCUUGACUGAAGGGGCGCUGUGCAGCUCUCCCUCUCUGCGCAGC